rnacentral:rRNA from 1 species
GAUGAACGCUGGCGGCGUGCCUAAUACAUGCAAGUAGAACGCUGAAGGAAGGAGCUUGCUCUUUCCGGAUGAGUUGCGAACGGGUGAGUAACGCGUAGGUAACCUGCCUGGUAGCGGGGGAUAACUAUUGGAAACGAUAGCUAAUACCGCAUAACAGUAGAUGUUGCAUGAUAUCUACUUAAAAGGUGCAAUUGCACCACUACCAGAUGGACCUGCGUUGUAUUAGCUAGUUGGUGAGGUAACGGCUCACCAAGGCGACGAUACAUAGCCGACCUGAGAGGGUGAUCGGCCACACUGGGACUGAGACACGGCCCAGACUCCUACGGGAGGCAGCAGUAGGGAAUCUUCGGCAAUGGACGGAAGUCUGACCGAGCAACGCCGCGUGAGUGGAGAAGGUUUUCGGAUCGUAAAGCUCUGUUGUAAGAGAAGAACGAGUGUGAGAGUGGAAAGUUCACACUGUGACGGUAUCCUACCAGAAAGGGACGGCUAACUACGUG